UACGUACGAGGCGAGCGUUAUCCGGAAUUACUGGGCGUAAAGCGCGCGCAGGCGGAUGUGUAAGUGGGGCGUGAAAUCUCCCGGCCUAACUGGGAGGGGUCGCCCCAGACUGCACGUCUUGAGGACGGCAGAGGUCGGUGGAAUUCCUGGUGUAGUGGUGAAAUGCGUAGAGAUCAGGAGGAACACCGGUGGCGAAGGCGGCCGACUGGGCCGUCUCUGACGCUGAGGCGCGAAAGCUCGGGGAGCGAACGGG
rnacentral:rRNA from 1 species